rnacentral:rRNA from 1 species
GAAGCUCUUGAUCGAAGCCCCAGUAAACGGCGGCCGUAACUAUAACGGUCCUAAGGUAGCGAAAUUCCUUGUCGGGUAAGUUCCGACCUGCACGAAUGGCGUAAUGAUGGCCAGGCUGUCUCCACCCGAGACUCAGUGAAAUUGAACUCGCUGUGAAGAUGCAGUGUACCCGCGGCAAGACGGAAAGACCCCGUGAACCUUUACUAUAGCUUGACACUGAACAUUGAGCCUUGAUGUGUAGGAUAGGUGGGAGGCCUUGAAGUGUGGACGCCAGUCUGCAUGGAGCCAACCUUGAAAUACCACCCUUUAAUGUUUGAUGUUCUAACUCGGCCCCAUGAUCUGGGGUGAGGACAGUGUCUGGUGGGUAGUUUGACUGGGGCGGUCUCCUCCCAAAGAGUAACGGAGGAGCACGAAGGUUAGCUAAUCACGGUCGGACAUCGUGAGGUUAGUGCAAAGGCAUAAGCUAGCUUGACUGCGAGAGUGACGGCUCGAGCAGGUACGAAAGUAGGUCUUAGUGAUCCGGUGGUUCUGAAUGGAAGGGCCAUCGCUCAACGGAUAAAAGGUACUCCGGGGAUAACAGGCUGAUACCGCCCAAGAGUUCAUAUCGACGGCGGUGUUUGGCACCUCGAUGUCGGCUCAUCACAUCCUGGGGCUGAAGUAGGUCCCAAGGGUAUGGCUGUUCGCCAUUUAAAGUGGUACGCGAGCUGGGUUUAGAACGUCGUGAGACAGUUCGGUCCCUAUCUGCCGUGGGCGUUGGAAGAUUGAGAGGGGCUGCUCCUAGUACGAGAGGACCGGAGUGGACGAAUCACUGGUGUUCGGGUUGUCAUGCCAAUGGCAUUGCCCGGUAGCUAAAUUCGGAAGAGAUAACCGCUGAAAGCAUCUAAGCGGGAAACUUGCCUCGAGAUGAGUCUUCCCUGGG